CGCGGCCUAUCAGCUUGUUGGUGAGGUAACGGCUCACCAAGGCGACGACGGGUAGCUGUUCUGAGAGGAAGAUCAGCCACACUGGGACUGAGACACGGCCCAGACUCCUACGGGAGGCAGCAGUGGGGAAUCUUGCGCAAUGGGCGAAAGCCUGACGCAGCAACGCCGCGUGCGGGAAGACGGCCUUCGGGUUGUAAACCGCUUUCAGCAGGGACGAAAUUGACGGUACCUGCAGAAGAAGCCCCGGCCAACUACGUGCCAGCAGCCGCGGUAAGACGUAGGGGGCGAGCGUUGUCCGGAAUCAUUGGGCGUAAAGGGCUCCUAGGCGGUUCAGUAAGUCGACUGUGAAAAUCCAAGGCUCAACCUUGGGACGCCAUCCGAUACUGCUGUGGCUUGAGUCUGGUAGGGGAACACGGAAUUCCUGGUGUAGCGGUGAAAUGCGCAGAUAUCAGGAGGAACACCGAUGGCGAAGGCAGUGUUCUGGGCCAGUACUGACGCUGAGGAGCGAAAGCGUGGGUAGCAAACAGGCUUAGAUACCCUGGUAGUCCACGCCGUAAACGUUGGGCACUAGGUGUGGGGACCUAUCGACGGUUUCCGUGCCGCAGCUAACGCAUUAAGUGCCCCGCCUGGGGAGUACGG
rnacentral:rRNA from 1 species